rnacentral:tRNA from 1 species
GCGGCUAUAAGUUAAUGGUAGACCUACAGUUUUCCGAUCUGGAGAUGUCAGUUCAAGUCUGACUAGUCGCG